CUGGGGACAUGGACUGUCCUCCUCUCCUUAAGUCCAUGGUGAUUUUGAAAGAGGCAAGUCAGGUCCUGUCCCUCGUGGAGGGCCAGUGGGAACUCAUAGGUGAGGUUGGUUAGCACUCUCACACCUUCAUACCCAGAGCGGAAGGAGAUGUGGCCUGUGGUGUUGUCAGGUAGAACCCAGGAGAGGUGUGCUCUGAUCCCGUCCCCUCUGUACUCACACACAGCCAGCCACAGAGAUCUGCUCUGCCUCGCAACAAAAACACGCAUCACAGGGGACUCUGAGGGAAGGGAGGGAGGGAGUGACAUUGUGUGGUGGUUGGAUACAAUGGAUACGUCCCUAAAUGACACCCUAUUCCCUUUAUAGUGCAUUACUUUUGACCAGGGCCAAUAGGGGAAAUAGCAUGUUAUUGGGGAUGCACAUAAUGUAUUGUGGAGAAACAUGGAUACUACAAGUCAUAAAGUAAUUUACCCAAUCCACGCAGCAGUAUCCCUCUUCUCUCUGGCCUUUCAAGACCCAGCUGAUCCACCACACAGGUGACAUUCUGACCAGAGAACUUGGAAGUGGGGAGCCUCAACACACUACAGACCGUCACAGAGCCAUUGGCAUGGUGCUCAGGCUGCCCCUGAUCCUGCAAGCGAAACAUAUGUAGACUGACUGGUACUAUUGUCACUGUCCCUGUCUCCAAGACUCCAGGAGAUAGUGGCAGCAGGUCCAACACUGUCCACAGUGCACUGCACCAGUGUGUAUGCUACAUCUUCCUCCCACUCAGAGCUGGACUGGAUGGUGAUGUUAGGAGGAGCUGCAUGUAGAUAGAACAGCGAUAUAGGAUACAUGUUCUCAAUGUAAAUAAAAUAACAGAGAUACAGGAUACAUGUUCUCAAUGUAAAUAAAAUAACAGAGAUAUAGGAUACAUGUUCUCAAUGUAAAUAAAAUAACAGAGAUAUAGGAUACAUGUUCUCAAUGUAAAUAAAAUAACAGAGAUAUAGGAUACAUGUUCUCAAUGUAAAAAAUGUAUUUUAACACUAGAGCUUUCAUUGAUGGUGUUCGAUGAUUUGUUGAACAUACCACACACAGGGAGUGUUAUCUGUCUUCUCUCUGGCAACACAAACACAGAAUGAUCUAUCACACACUCCAUAUUGAGCUCCUGGGCUGAGCAGGCAGGCAGGACUAACACACUGCUGACAGAGUGGGUUCCAUUAUGGGAUGUGAGACUGGACCAGGAGGGCCCAGACACACCCUCAGGUAGAACCCAGGACACAUUGGCAAUGGGGACAGAGUCUGCAGCCAGGCACUCAAUGAACCUGUUACCCAGUCUGUCCUGGACAUCAACCCUUAUGCUGGGAGGAACAGUC
ensembl:lncRNA